CGAAGCUCGCGAGGUCACGUGAUCCGCGCUAACGCCGGAAGUCUGCAUACUGGGUGCUGUGGACUCUGAUUACCCAAACAGAACAAAGUGAGGCCAACUUGCCAAGUCUUCAGUCGCUCCCAUGGACCUUCAACUGAGACACAGUAGUCUGGAGCCUGUGACGAUACACCACUGAUGACCCCUCGGGGAAAAACCAGAUGCAAUUAAUUCUAAGAGCUCGGUCAGCCGUUGCAUCUAACUGAACUCUGUAAAUCAAAAGCACUAUGACCAUGAGACAAAUAUCAAUAAGUAUCUUCCGCAGUUUUGAAAAUGCAUCAGUCCUAAACAAGAUGUUGAUUUUGAGUCAGAUUGUAUCAUCAGCCGCAGUGUUCUAAAACAUGUGCAUCUCCCUUCUUCCAGGUGUCUGUGACAGACAUGGGGCUGCGUACUUGUAGCAAGGCCUGCAAACACAGUACACACCUUAUAAAUAAUUGCUAUCAAGCUGUGGAGGGAAGAGAAACCAAAUGGAAAAGAAGUAACUUGCUUCCACAGAAUGUUAUGUUAGGACGAUUUAAAACACUAGUAUCCUGUCUCUUUCCACAGAGAAGCUACGUUUAGUAAGCUCAAUUUUCAUUCCUAAAUUAUAAGGAGGAAGGAGCCAUACCAGAAUGAUACAUGUUGCUGACAGACUUCUCUGGAAAUUUUUUGGAUCCUUUGCUACAAUUUGCCAUUCACCACUGUAGUGUUCAGAAGGACUUCGCCUCUGAUACGGACUCGUCCAACUUCUGAACCCCCUGACUGCUGACCUCGUCUUCCAGCAUGUCAGGAAGAACCACCUUUUGCUUUCUUUUCUAAGCUGAGAUGCUUGAUUGGAAGUUGUUUUCGUCUUUGGAAUCUAAGGAACUUAUUUCUUCCAAGAUGGGAAUGUCCUGACCUGCAGGGGACACCUGCUGGGACACCUGUUGGGACACCUGCUUCCCUGUCCUGCUGGAGCACCUCUUUGUCAGGCUUCUUGGACCAGCUGCUCAAGGAGAGGGCAGGGGAAGUGGGUCCGGAGGUGGUGGCCAAGUAGCUGGAUCCCUGUAUUAGGAAUUCUACAAGGAAAGGAAGAAAUGCUCUGUACUUCCUUCUGUAUUAA